rnacentral:SRP_RNA from 1 species
GCCGGGAGCGGUGGCACGUGCCUGCAGUCCCAGCUACUUGGGAGGCUGAGGUGGGAGGAUCACUUGAGCCCAGGAGUUCUGGGCUGUAGUGCGCUAUGCCGAUCGGGUGUCUGCACUAAGUUCAGCAUCAAUAUGGGGACCUCCCAGGAGUGGGGGACCACCAGGUUGCUUAAGGAGGGGUGAACCGGCCCAGGUCUGAAACGGAGCAGGUCAAAACUCCCGUGCUGAUCAGUAGCAGGAUCAUGCCUGUAAAUAGACAUUGCACUCCAGCCCGGGCAACAUAGCGAGACCCCGUCUCU